rnacentral:rRNA from 1 species
GACGGGAUAAGUGCUGAAAGCAUCUAAGCAUGAAGCCCCCCUCAAGAUGAGAUUUCCCAUUCCGCAAGGAAGUAAGAUCCCUGAAAGAUGAUCAGGUUGAUAGGUCUGAGGUGGAAGCGUGGUGACACGUGGAGCUGACAGAUACUAAUAGAUCGAGGACUUAACCUAUA